UGCCUGGUGGUGUAAUGGCAGCACAACAGAUUUUGGUUCUGUGAGUCCGGGUUCGAGUCCCGGCCGGGUAG
rnacentral:tRNA from 1 species